rnacentral:rRNA from 1 species
GAUGAACGCUGGCUACAGGCUUAACACAUGCAAGUCGAGGGGAAACGCCGGGGAAGCUUGCUUCCCCGGGCGUCGACCGGCGCACGGGUGAGUAACGCGUAUCCAACCUGCCUCUGACUGAGGGAUAACCCGUCGAAAGUCGGCCUAAUACCUCAUGGUAUCGUCUGCGGGCAUCCAACGACGAUUAAAGAUUUCAUCGGUCAGGGAUGGGGAUGCGUCUGAUUAGCUUGUUGGCGGGGUAACGGCCCACCAAGGCUACGAUCAGUAGGGGUUCUGAGAGGAAGGUCCCCCACAUUGGAACUGAGACACGGUCCAAACUCCUACGGGAGGCAGCAGUGAGGAAUAGUGGGCAAUGGACGAGAGCCUGAACCAGCCAAGUAGCGUGCAUGAAGACGGCCCUAUGGGUUGUAAACUGCUUUUAUGCGGGGAUAAAGUGAGGGACGUGUCCCUCAUUGCAGGUACCGCAUGAAUAAGGACCGGCUAAUUCCGUG